rfam:Triticum aestivum genome assembly, contig: Triticum_aestivum_CS42_TGACv1_scaffold_557251_7AL
AAUAUAUUCCCUCCGUCCGAAAAAGCUUGUCCCUCAAAUGGAUGUAUCUAGCAUCAAGUUAGUGCUAGAUACAUUCAUUUGAGGAACAACCUUGGGACAAGUUUUUUCGGACGGAGGGAGUAGUAU